rnacentral:tRNA from 1 species
GGCGUGGUGUCCACGUGGUAAGGCGUUGGUCUCGCAAACCCGAGAUCGUGGGUUCAACCUCCACCCGCGCCU